rnacentral:tRNA from 1 species
ACCAGCAUGGCAUAGUGGUUUGAGUGUUGGACUACAACUCGGGAGACCAGGGUCCAAUUCCCUGCUCGGCCA